UACGUAGGAGACGAGCGUUGUCCGGAGUUACUGGGCGUAAAGGGUGCGCAGGUGGCGGCGCGCGUGGGGGGUGAAAUCGCCCGGCUUAACUGGGCGGGGGCCUUCCAGACGGCGUGGCUUGAGCAGCGGAGGGGGACGUGGAAUUCCGGGUGGAGCGGUGAAAUGCGUAGAGAUCCGGAAGAACACCGGUGGCGAAGGCGGUCCGCUGGGGUGUUGCUGACGCUGAGGCGCGACAGCGUGGGGAGCAAACAGG
rnacentral:rRNA from 1 species